GUUGAACGCUAGCGGCAGGCCUAAUACAUGCAAGUCGAGGGGCAGCACAGGUAGCAAUACUGGGUGGCGACCGGCAAACGGGUGCGGAACACGUACGCAACCUUCCUUCAAGUGGGGGAUAGCCCGGGGAAAACCCGGAUUAAUACCCCGUAAUACUGUGAGAUGGCAUCAUCUUACACUUAUAGCUCCGGCGCUUGAAG
rnacentral:rRNA from 1 species